UACGUAGGGUGCGAGCGUUGUCCGGAAUUACUGGGCGUAAAGAGCUCGUAGGCGGCCUGUCGCGUCUGCUGUGAAAUCCCGGGGCUCAACCCCGGGCGUGCAGUGGAUACGGGCUGGCUGGAGGCAGGCAGGGGAGAACGGAAUUCCUGGUGUAGCGGUGAAAUGCGCAGAGUAUCAGGAGGAACACCGGUGGCGAAGGCGGAUCUCUGGGCCGUAACUGACGCUGAGGAGCGAAAGCAUGGGGAGCGAACAGG
rnacentral:rRNA from 1 species